CUACUACACCUGCUGUAUUCAGCAUUUCACUGUGAGGUCUACUACACCCGUUGUAUUCAGCAUUUCACUGUGAGGUCUACUACACCUGUUGUAUUCAGCAUUUCACUGUAAGGUCUACUACACCUGUUGUAUUCAGCAUUUCACUGUGAGGUCUACUACACCUGUUGUAUUCAGCAUUUCACUGUGAGGUCUACUACACCUGUUGUAUUCAGCAUUUCACUGUGAGGUCUACUACACCUGUUGUAUUCAGCAUUUCACUGUAAGGUCUACUACACCUGUUGUAUUCAGCAUUUCACUGUGAGGUCUACUACACCUGUUGUAUUCAGCAUUUCACUGUGAGGUCUACUACACCUGUUGUAUUCAGCAUUUCACUGUGAGGUCUACUACACCUGUUGUAUUCAGCAUUUCACUGUGAGGUCUACUACACCUGUUGUAUUCAGCAUUUCACUGUGAGGUCUACUACACCUGUUGUAUUCAGCAUUUCACUGUGAGGUCUACUACACCUGUUGUAUUCAGCAUUUCACUGUGAGGUCUACUACACCUGUUGUAUUCAGCAUUUCACUGUGAGGUCUACUACACCUGUUGUAUUCAGCAUUUCACUGUGAGGUCUACUACACCUGUUGUAUUCAGCAUUUCACUGUGAGGUCUACUACACCUGUUGUA